AUUGAACGCUGGCGGCAUGCUUUACACAUGCAAGUCGAACGGUAACAGGGUGCUUGCACCGCUGACGAGUGGCGAACGGGUGAGUAAUGCGUCGGAACGUGCCGAGUAGUGGGGGAUAACGCAGCGAAAGUUGUGCUAAUACCGCAUACGUACUGAGGUAGAAAGUGGGGGACCUUUGGGCCUCACGCUAUUCGAGCGGCCGACGUCUGAUUAGCUAGUAGGUGGGGUAAAGGCUCACCUAGGCGACGAUCAGUAGCGGGUCUGAGAGGAUGCUCCGCCACACUGGGACGGAGACACGGCCCAGACUCCUACGGGAGGCAGCAGUGGGGAAUCUUCCACAAUGGACGAAAGUCUGAUGGAGCAACGCCGCGUGAGUGAAGAAGGUUCUCGGAUCGUAAAACUCUGUUGUGAGGGAAGAACUAGUACCGGAGUAACUGCCGGUGCCUUGACGGUACCUCAUUAGAAAGCCACGGCUAACUACGUGCCAGCAGCCGCCGUAA
rnacentral:rRNA from 1 species